rnacentral:tRNA from 1 species
GCGCGAGUGGCGGAAUUGGUAGACGCGCUAGAUUUAGGUUCUAGUGCCUGCGGGCGUAGGGGUUCGAGUCCCCUCUCGCGCA